UUUUUACUGGAGGAAGUUGGGGAUGACGUCAAGUCAUCAUGGCCCUUACGACCAGGGCUACACACGUGCUACAAUGGCAUAUACAAAGAGAAGCGACCUCGCGAGAGCAAGCGGACCUCAUAAAGUAUGUCGUAGUCCGGAUUGGAGUCUGCAACUCGACUCCAUGAAGUCGGAAUCGCUAGUAAUCGUAGAUCAGAAUGCUACGGUGAAUACGUUCCCGGGCCUUGUACACACCGCCCGUCACACCAUGGGAGUGGGUUGCAAAAGAAGUAGGUAGCUUAACCUUCGGGAGGGCGCUUACCACUUUGUGAUUCAUGACUGGGGUGAAGUCGUAACAAGUACAUGCCC
rnacentral:rRNA from 1 species